AGAGCGAACGCUGGCGGCAGGCCUAAUACAUGCAAGUCGAACGGAUCCUUCGGGAUUAGUGGCGGACGGGUGAGUAACACGUGGGAACGUGCCCUUUGGUUCGGAACAACUCAGGGAAACUUGAGCUAAUACCGGAUGUGCCCUUCGGGGGAAAGAUUUAUCGCCAUUGGAGCGGCCCGCGUCUGAUUAGCUAGUUGGUAGGGUAAAGGCCUACCAAGGCUUCGAUCAGUAGCUGGUCUGAGAGGAUGAUCAGCCACACUGGGACUGAGACACGGCCCAGACUCCUACGGGAGGCAGCAGUAGGGAAUCUUGCGCAAUGGGCGAAAGCCUGACGCAGCCAUGCCGCGUGAAUGAUGAAGGUCUUAGGAUUGUAAAAUUCUUUCAGCGGGGACGAUAAUGACGGUACCGCAGAAGAAGCCCCGGCUAACUUCGUAGCCAGCAGCCGC
rnacentral:rRNA from 1 species